rnacentral:lncRNA from 1 species
UAAAAAGUUUUGAUCCACCUCUCGUGAAAAAGACAAAUUUCCGCCGAUUCAGCUGGAAGCGGGUCAAAUUUGAACUGUAGCUGCCUUGUAGUUUGCUCUUUAUUUUUUCCAAAAAUCAUUUCUAGGUACAUAAGUAUCUAUUUAAUCAGAGAAACUUCAAAAUAAUUCCUAGAUUCAACCACUAGCUAGGAACGGUCAUUCCCGCUGUUUGACCGCAUUUUGAAACGGGCAUGAAAAAAUCAAAAAAAUCAAAAAAUUGGGAAACCUUCGCAUUGUGUCAUUAUAUGUGGCCAAGUUCCCAGGAAAAAUAACAAACUUGUAAUACGGCAAUUAUUUUAAAAAAGUGUUCUCAGAAACGAGCUAUCACGUGUGGAGAUCAAUGGCUUUCAAGCCAAAUGAUCAAUCUUAUGGCCACAUCACGGCAUAGUUUGUUCAAAUGAUCUCAUAUUGUGCACAAGGGUGCAUAUUGGAAUGGCAAACAAUAUUGCCUAAGGAAGUUUUCAUUUUCUUUGGACGAAAAAACCAUUUUCCAUUUUUCGAGUGCCCAAAAGGAGGUUUUUUUGUGAAGGACCUCCCAAAUAAUUGUUGCAAAAUUGGACCAAAUCAUUUUUCUUAAACACUAGGCCAUAUUUAAUGCACAAUUGACCAAAUGGUUGGGUGUAAAAAGUUUUGAUCCACCUCUCGUGAAAAAGAUAAAUUUCCGCCGAUUCAGAUGGAAGCGGGUCAAAUUUGAACUGUAGCUGCAUUGUACUUUGCUCUUUCUUUUUUUUCCAAAAAUCAUUUCUAGGUACAUAAGUAUCUAUUUAAUCAGAGAAACAUCAAAAAAAUUGAAAGAUUCAACCACUAGCUAGGAACGGUCAUUCCCGCCGUUUUGACCGCAUUUUGAAACGGGCAUAAAAA